AACGCACCUUGCGCUCCUUGGUAUUCCGAGGAGCAUGCCUGUUUGAGUGUCAUUAAAUUCUCAACCUUUGAUAGCUUUUGCUGUUAAUGGCUUGGAUGUGGGGGUCUAUUUUGCUGGCUUAGGUCGGCUCCCCUCAAAUGUAUUAGCCGGUACCCUGCGCGGAGCCGUCUAUUAGUGUGAUAAUUAUCUACGCUGUUAGACCUCUGCAUUAAUGGGAUUGUACUGCUUCUAACCGUCCUCUUGGACAUAUAAUGACAAUUUGACCUCAAAUCAGGUAGGACUACCCGCUGAACUUAA
rnacentral:misc_RNA from 1 species